AUACUUCUGGCAUGGAAGACACCAUGGUCAGGAAGAUGGCUUUCCCAGGACAAGGCUCAGCCAUUGCACGGGGGGUUGUGCUGACCCCUACAGUUUUCCCAAAGGAGGAAACCUAGACCACAUGCUCUGUGGUAGUGGGGGACAGCAUCCGUUCUCUCCCCUU